rnacentral:snRNA from 1 species
GGAUGUGAGGGUGACCUGGCUGUGACAUCUCUCACCCCAUUGAUGGCCAAGGUUGAUUUGGCUGAUCUGGCUAUCCCCUUUCUCCCUUAGGGCUCCAUAUGUGUCCUUCCCAAAGCUGCCCACUCAGUGGAAGAGGGCAACCUUAUCUGAUAAAGGAGGAUUGUUCUUCAAAGGUUAUUUCAGUAACUCCCCUGCUAGAACUUCCAAACAAGCUCUAAGGUCCAGUUGUAGAAGGUGAGGUCAGUCAAGCUUCUAAGAUUGCAGAUACAUCCAAACAAGGCGCUGCAUGGAGCAGUCUGCCUUUCUCA